rnacentral:rRNA from 1 species
GGCUAAGCUAUUAAGGGCGUAUGGGGGAUGUCUUGGCAUCAGAUGGCGAUGAAGGGCGUGGAAGACUGCGAUAAUCUUGGGGAAGUUGUCAAACGAGCGUUGAUCCCGAGGUUCCUGAAUUAUCAUACACUGAAUACAUAGGUGUAUGAGGCACACGCGGUGAACUGAAACAUCUCAGUAACCGCAGGAAAGGAAAGCAACAGCGACUUCGUUAGUAGCGGCGAGCGAAAGCGAAUCUAGCCUAAACCGUCUUGCUUCGGCAUGACGGGGUUGUGGGGCUUGUCAUUGUGGAGUUACAAAACUGUUUGCUAGAAGAAUUCGUUGGAAAGCGAAACCAUAGAGGGUGACAGUCCCGUAUUCGAAAGUAAUCAGACUUCCGACAAGUACCCGAGUAGGUCCGGCCACGUGGAAUCCGGACUGAAUCUGGGAGGUCCAUCUCCUAAGGCUAAGUAUUCUCUGAUGACCGAUAGUGAAAAGUAGGGUGACCGAAAGAUGAAAAGAACCCCUGUUAGGGGAGGGAAAGAACCUGAAACCAUACGCUUACAAGCUGUCGGAGCACUAUUAUCUUCGGAUAAGUGUGACGGCGUGCCUUUU